UACGGGGGGGGUAAGCGUUGUUCGGAAUUACUGGGCGUAAAGGGCUCGUAGGCGGCCAACUAAGUCGGACGUGAAAUCCCUCAGCUUAACUGGGGAACUGCGUCCGAUACUGGAUGGCUUGGAUUUGGGAGAGGGAUGCGGAAUUCCAGGUGUAGAGGUGAAAUGCGUAGAUAUCUGGAGGAACACCGGUGGCGAAGGCGGCAUCCUGGACCAAUAUUGACGCUGAGGCGCGACAGCGUGGGGAGCAAACAGG
rnacentral:rRNA from 1 species